UUUUUUUUUUUUUUAACUUAAAAAUGUUUGGAAAUUGUGGUAAAAUAUACUUCACACAAAUUUGCCAUGUUAACUAUUUUUAAGUGUAUAGUUCCAUAGUGUUAAGUAUACUUACCUUGUACUUGGUUCACAUUGUACUGGAAUAAACAAGAUAGACUUGUUUAUUUCAUCAAUGCUCUUCCUGGGAUGGACAAGGGAUCAGACUGCGGAUAACAGCUAGUGUUUCUUAUUUAAGGCAGUCUGCUAGUCUCAACAAUGACUUUACAUGAUUAUUGCCUAAGAAAAAUUUGGAGGCCUUAAGGAUAGUCACUAUCACAACCACGUCCAUCUCCAGAACUCUUUUCAUUUUGCAAAACAGAAACACUGUAGCCAUUAAAAAAUAACCCCAUUUCUCCCCUCCCACAGCUGCCUGGCCAUCACCAUUCUUCUUUCUGCCUCUAUCAAUCUGACCACUCUAGGAACCUCGCAUAAGUGAGAUCGUAUAGUGUUCGUCCUUUGGUGACUGGCUUAUUUCACUCAGUGUAACAUCCUCAAGGUUCACCCACGGGGUAGCCUGCGUCGGACUCUCUUCCCUUUUUAAGGCUGAAAUCAUAUAUCCUAAGAAAGAUACUGCUUUGGACAGUUUUUCAGGCCUGAGAAAAUCUCUCAGGGACACUUCGUUGUCAAGACGCUAAUGGCCUUCCUUGCUGUGACUGUAGUCACAAAAACAGCCUGCCCAGUUCUGUCCUCUUAGUACCCUAAACGCUUUCUAUUAAACUCUAGUCUCCUGACUGCAAACAGAGCGUGACCACUUAACAGUCGAUGUUGAUGUCAAAGAAGGUGGCCCUCAUGAGAUCGAGAGGGAAAUAUAAAUAGAACGUUUCUGCUUUAGAGUAAAACUCCCCUCCCUGCACACCAGAGCUCUCUUAGGUAUGAGCAGUGAAAACUCUCCAUUUUAGUAUCUCUCUGUGAAUUUUCAUUUCCCAAAGGAGAUACACACAGACUUAAUUCAACAUUUCACACUGAAACAAAGCUACCAUAAAAUUAAGGGCAAAGAUAAAGAAAUGGACAAAAAGCAUAUUAUUUUAAAAGCAGAUUUGGAGUCUGCCAGACGAGUUUAGCUUGCAGUUGGUCCGAAAUUGUACAUACAUGUUCUUCGAGUUACGGUUUCUAUUUUGUUUUCAGGCCUCUAAUGGAAGAAUGAGAGUGGGUCCCACAGCAGGUGUCUCUUGUUAGGAACGGCACCAGGAAGGGGCGGACAGUGCUGUGAUGAGUGUCUUCAACAGCCAAGAAUGCGCAGAAAAUCUGUUUCCCUGAUGGGCUAACUGAGCUACAGACCUUCCUGGUGGCUCAUGGGUUUGCUACGUUUGAAAUUGAUUCAAUAACCAGCUGCAUCACAUCAGCCACAGUCUCAACACAAGAGGACUUCUUGCCACAGAGUUGCCAUCUUUUGUUAAAACCAUAGCUGCCCUAAAGGUCCUCAAAAAGCCAAGUGCCUUCUCUCACCAAGCAAGAGAGCCUGAUGCUCAUGAGGGACUCUAUGAUCAGGAGACCCUGAAGGAGGGUACGUAUCUGCAUAUGUGCAACAUUGUUCUAGUUUCCCAGCCAUCUCAGAGGAGUGUUCAACACCAAGUUUUCUUUCUUUUUUUAAAAAAAUUACUUUUAAUUUUUGAGGGUACAUAGUAAGUGUAUAUAUUUAUGGGUUACAUGAGAUAUUUUGAUCCAGGCAUAUAAUGCGCAUAAUCACACCAUGGAAAAUGGGGGUGUCCAUCCCCUCAAGCAUUUAUCCUUUGAAAAUCAAGUCCUCUUGGCCCCUUUCCUUAUGAAUUAAAUUUGGACAAAAUGUUUUUAAUAGCUGGAAUUUCAUAAGAGAUAUACUACUUGUUUGUUUCAUCAACCCUCUUCCUGGGAUGGACAAGGGAUCAGACCAUGGAGAAGAGCUAUUGUUUCUCAUUUAAAGCAGUUGCCAAGAGGCAGUGGAGUCUCCCAGUCUCAACUGUGACUUUACAUGACUAUUUUCUAAGACAAUUUUUGGGGGGACUUUAAAAACUGUCAAUGUGGCCAGGCAUGGUGGCUCACG
rnacentral:lncRNA from 1 species